AGUUAAAAACAAAAAUCGGUAGUUUACCGAGCUAUAAAUAUACGAGUGGAAAAUAUGAACCACGGGAAAUCGAAACGUAUACAGUGGUACGGAUACUCGUUUUGUAAUAUGGAUAAUCUGUGCGCGGGUUCACGCGAUAAUAACAGUAUAAUCACCCUGUAUACAAUGAUAGUGUUUUGUGCGGCCCCGCUCGUGUAUAAUACUA